CCUACGUGAGGCAGCAGUGAGGAAUAUUGGUCAAUGGGCGGAAGCCUGAACCAGCCCAGUAGCGUGCGGGAUGAAGGCCCUACGGGUCGUAAACCGCUUUUGCACGGGGAUAACACCCUCCACUUGUGGAGGUCUGCAGGUACCGUGCGAAUAAGGGCCGGCUAAUUCCGUACCAGAAGCCGCGGUAAUACGGAAGGCCCGAGCGUUAUCCGGAUUCAUUGGGCUUAAAGGGAGCGUAGGCGGGCGUUCAAGUCAGCUGUAAAAUCGCGCGGCUCAACCGCGCCCCGCAGUUGAAACUGGACGCCUUGAGUUCACAACAGGCAGGCGGAAUUCGUGGUGUAGCGGUGAAAUGCAUAGAUAUCACGAGGAACCCCGAUUGCGAAGGCAGCCUGCCGGGGUGCGACUGACGCUGAGGCUCGAAGGUGCGGGUAUCAAACAGGAUUAGAUACCCCAGUAGUC
rnacentral:rRNA from 1 species